UACGGAGGGAGCUAGCGUUGUUCGGAAUUACUGGGCGUAAAGCGCGCGUAGGCGGCUUUGUAAGUUAGAGGUGAAAGCCCGGGGCUCAACCCCGGAACUGCCUUUAAGACUGCAUCGCUUGAAUCCGGGAGAGGUGAGUGGAAUUCCGGAGUGUAGAGGUGAAAUUCGUAGAUAUUCGGAAGAACACCAGUGGCGAAGGCGGCUCACUGGACUGGUAUUGACGCUGAGGUGCGAAAGCGUGGGGAGCAAACAGG
rnacentral:rRNA from 1 species